UGGUGGAGUGAUUUGUCUGGUUAAUUCCGUUAACGAACGAGACCUCGACCUGCUAAAUAGAUCAUGUAAUCCUUUGGAUUGCGUGAGACUUCUUAGAGGGACUAUCGGUUGUAAACCGGUGGAAGUUCGAGGCAAUAACA
rnacentral:rRNA from 1 species